GGUUAAGCGACUAAGCGUACACGGUGGAUGCCCUGGCAGUCAGAGGCGAUGAAGGGCGUGCUAAUCUGCGAUAAGCGCCGGUAAGGUGAUAUGAACCGUUAUAACCGGCGAUACCCGAAUGGGGAAACCCAGUGUGACUCGUCACACUAUCAUUAACUGAAUCCAUAGGUUAAUGAGGCGAACCGGGGGAACUGAAACAUCUAAGUACCCCGAGGAAAAGAAAUCAACCGAGAUUCCCCCAGUAGCGGCGAGCGAACGGGGAGGAGCCCAGAGCCUGAAUCAGCAUGUGUGUUAGUGGAAGCGUCUGGAAAGGCGCGCGAUACAGGGUGACAGCCCCGUACACAAAAGCGCAUGUGCUGUGAGCUCGAUGAGUAGGGCGGGACACGUGGUAUCCUGUCUGAAUAUGGGGGGACCAUCCUCCAAGGCUAAAUACUCCUGACUGACCGAUAGUGAACCAGUACCGUGAGGGAAAGGCGAAAAGAACCCCGGCGAGGGGAGUGAAAAAGAACCUGAAACCGUGUACGUACAAGCAGUGGGAGCCCCACCACUAAGCCAGUGGUGAACUCCACAUACGCAUCCUUUGCUGAGGAUACGGUUAACGGAGCGAAAGCGACGUUCAACCUCAAAAGAAGCAGAGGGGGCUUAGUGGUGGGGUGACUGCGUACCUUUUGUAUAAUGGGUCAGCGACUUAUAUUCUGUAGCAAGGUUAACCGAAUAGGGGAGCCGGAGGGAAACCGAGUCUUAACCGGGCGUUAAGUUGCAGGGUAUAGACCCGAAACCCGGUGAUCUAGCCAUGGGCAGGUUGAAGGUUGGGUAACACUAACUGGAGGACCGAACCGACUAAUGUUGAAAAAUUAGCGGAUGACCUGUGGCUGGGGGUGAAAGGCCAAUCAAACCGGGAGAUAGCUGGUUCUCCCCGAAAGCUAUUUAGGUAGCGCCUCGUGAAUUCAUCUCCGGGGGUAGAGCACUGUUUCGGCUAGGGGGCCAUCCCGGCUUACCAACCCGAUGCAAACUGCGAAUACCGGAGAAUGUUAUCACGGGAGACACACGGCGGGUGCUAACGUCCGUCGUGAAGAGGGAAACAACCCAGACCGCCAGCUAAGGUCCCAAAGUCAUGGUUAAGUGGGAAACGAUGUGGGAAGGCCCAGACAGCCAGGAUGUUGGCUUAGAAGCAGCCAUCAUUUAAAGAAAGCGUAAUAGCUCACUGGUCGAGUCGGCCUGCGCGGAAGAUGUAACGGGGCUAAACCAUGCACCGAAGCUGCGGCAGCGACACUGUGUGUUGUUGGGUAGGGGAGCGUUCUGUAAGCCUGCGAAGGUGGCCUGUGAGGGUUGCUGGAGGUAUCAGAAGUGCGAAUGCUGACAUAAGUAACGAUAAAGCGGGUGAAAAGCCCGCUCGCCGGAAGACCAAGGGUUCCUGUCCAACGUUAAUCGGGGCAGGGUGAGUCGACCCCUAAGGCGAGGCCGAAAGGCGUAGUCGAUGGGAAACGGGUUAAUAUUCCCGUACUUGGUGUUACUGCGAAGGGGGGACGGAGAAGGCUAUGUUGGCCGGGCGACGGUUGUCCCGGUUUAAGCGUGUAGGUGUGUGUUCCAGGUAAAUCCGGUUCACUUUAACACUGAGGCGUGAUGACGAGGCACUACGGUGCUGAAGCAACAAAUGCCCUGCUUCCAGGAAAAGCCUCUAAGCAUCAGGUAACAUCAAAUCGUACCCCAAACCGACACAGGUGGUCAGGUAGAGAAUACCAAGGCGCUUGAGAGAACUCGGGUGAAGGAACUAGGCAAAAUGGUGCCGUAACUUCGGGAGAAGGCACGCUGACACGUAGGUGAAGUGAUUUACUCAUGGAGCUGAAGUCAGUCGAAGAUACCAGCUGGCUGCAACUGUUUAUUAAAAACACAGCACUGUGCAAACACGAAAGUGGACGUAUACGGUGUGACGCCUGCCCGGUGCCGGAAGGUUAAUUGAUGGGGUCAGCGCAAGCGAAGCUCCUGAUCGAAGCCCCGGUAAACGGCGGCCGUAACUAUAACGGUCCUAAGGUAGCGAAAUUCCUUGUCGGGUAAGUUCCGACCUGCACGAAUGGCGUAAUGAUGGCCAGGCUGUCUCCACCCGAGACUCAGUGAAAUUGAACUCGCUGUGAAGAUGCAGUGUACCCGCGGCAAGACGGAAAGACCCCGUGAACCUUUACUAUAGCUUGACACUGAACAUUGAGCCUUGAUGUGUAGGAUAGGUGGGAGGCUUUGAAGCGUGGACGCCAGUCUGCGUGGAGCCGACCUUGAAAUACCACCCUUUAAUGUUUGAUGUUCUAACGUGGACCCGUAAUCCGGGUUGCGGACAGUGUCUGGUGGGUAGUUUGACUGGGGCGGUCUCCUCCUAAAGAGUAACGGAGGAGCACGAAGGUUGGCUAAUCCUGGUCGGACAUCAGGAGGUUAGUGCAAUGGCAUAAGCCAGCUUGACUGCGAGCGUGACGGCGCGAGCAGGUGCGAAAGCAGGUCAUAGUGAUCCGGUGGUUCUGAAUGGAAGGGCCAUCGCUCAACGGAUAAAAGGUACUCCGGGGAUAACAGGCUGAUACCGCCCAAGAGUUCAUAUCGACGGCGGUGUUUGGCACCUCGAUGUCGGCUCAUCACAUCCUGGGGCUGAAGUAGGUCCCAAGGGUAUGGCUGUUCGCCAUUUAAAGUGGUACGCGAGCUGGGUUUAGAACGUCGUGAGACAGUUCGGUCCCUAUCUGCCGUGGGCGCUGGAGAACUGAGGGGGGCUGCUCCUAGUACGAGAGGACCGGAGUGGACGCAUCACUGGUGUUCGGGUUGUCAUGCCAAUGGCACUGCCCGGUAGCUAAAUGCGGAAGAGAUAAGUGCUGAAAGCAUCUAAGCACGAAACUUGCCCCGAGAUGAGUUCUCCCUGAGACUUAGAGUCUCCUGAAGGAACGUUGAAGACGACGACGUUGAUAGGCCGGGUGUGUAAGCGCAGCGAUGCGUUGAGCUAACCGGUACUAAUGAACCGUGAGGCUUAACCUU
rnacentral:rRNA from 1 species